UUAUUUUUGUGAGGAACCUCCAAACUGUUCUCUACAGCAGUUGUACUAAAGUUGAAUUUGAAGUUGUUACUCAAAAUAAAAUUUAGUAAUUUUAAUCAGUUCAUAUUAAAGUUACAGUGAAAAAUUUGUAGGAAUUUGUUAAUGAAAUAUCGUGUCGUUUGUAGGGACAUGGAUGAAUCUGGAAAACAUCAUCCUCAGCAAACUGACACAAGAAGAGAAAAUGAAACACCGCAUAUUCUCACUCAUAGAACAAGAACAUGUUCCAGAUAAGUUCUACUACUUCAUUCUGCACCUUAGAAUGAUGAAGCCAAGUAUACAAUAGCAGAACCAUUUUUUACAUAUAAUACAGAUAUUGUAAACCACUGCAAUUGUCUUGUUAUCACAGCAUAGACUAGAAAAAACUAGGUAAUACACAAAAAUUAUUUGACAGGGUUUAUUUUGUAAUAGCUAUGCAAUAAUGAACAUUAACAUUUAAAAAAUUUGCCUGGUUUGCUAUUAGCCAUCUUUCUACUGUUAAUCUUUUGCUUUUCUUCCAAAUUCAUAUUUUUGAACAAAAUUUAAGACUCUGUUUUUUAAUUUAAAUAAGACUUAUACAAUUUUAUGUCCAUUUCUAUAUUGGGACAUCUGUGUGCUUUUUCUUUUUUGUGUUUUCAGUUGUUCUCAAUCUUCUUUCCUUCUUUCACUUUUUUCCCCUAGUGAUUAGAGACAUACACAUCCUUACUUAUUUAUUUCAACUAUCCUGGCCCCCAUUAUCCUCCAGCAAUCACUGAUGUUUUCACUGUUUCCACAGUUUUGCUUUUUCAGAAUGCCAUAUAGUUAGAAUCAUACAGUAUAUAGCCUUUUUCUAAUUGGCUUAUUUCACUUAGUAAUAAGUCACUUCCUUAACAACAGAUUGCAAACAUCUAUAUUUCUCUAUAGAGACUUCAAAACAUCAACACUAUCUAUCAAUUUCCUCCUGGCAAAUGUGAGAGUAUAAAUACACUUUAGAUUUACUAAAUUUUCUGAAUUCUAGACAUUUGUAACUAACAUAUGGAAGCAUACAUUCCCAAUCAAUUCUCCUCAUACUAUAUAUUUAUGGAAUAAAUAGAAUUAUAUUUGACAAUGGCAAGUUUUAUUCAUAUUUAUAAUAAUAAAUUAGACUCAACUUCAUAUUGAACAAUUUCAGUUCUCAUUAUUGAUCCUAUGAUAGUAUUAUUCACAUAGUUCUGCUGUCUUUAUUUUGAUUCCCUUUGGCUAAAAAUAUUCCUUUGAUUCAAGAAAACUGUGCAGUUAAAUUUUACCUUUUCAGCCUUUUUACAUCUAACAUUGUCUUUCUUUACCUUUCUACAUUAAUGACAAUUAGUAUUUGUUUGGAACUCAAAACUUUUCUUUCAAAUAAAGUCAAGUUAAUCUGAUUUUGGUAGUGUUUUGGAUAACUUGAU
rnacentral:lncRNA from 1 species